AAGAACGCAUAGGUUAAAACAACAAAUCAUCUCCGCCCGAAGCCAUCGCCGCUCGAAGCCAUCACCACAACAGCUCUUGCCUCUCCACAAUAGCUCUCUGCCUCUCUUCACUAUCGUCGCCGUCGCCGGACUCCUCUCUACCUCUCGACACUCACUGCCACCAACCGUAGGAAUCCUCUCCGCCUCUCUGCACUGACCCAUCACCGGCCGCACGACUCCACUCUGCCUCUCCGCACUCGUUGUCGUCUGCCGCAAGACUUCCAUAUCUCCGUAUCAUAGGACCACAGCAAGAGUAAGCAAGCCCUUUGCUAACCACUCCACACUCUACAUCAAGACAAAAGCUCAAAGCCAAAGAAUUAUGUCAAAGAGUAUUAGACCGGAACCAUUUAGAACAACUCGAGAAGAAUAUUGCUGAAAUUCUGUGCAUGUUGGAAAGGUAUUUUCCACCUGCUUUCUUUACCAUCUCGGUUCACUCGACAAUUCAUUUAGCAAGAGAGACUCGUUUGUGUGGGCCAAUCCAUUUCCGUUGGAUGUAUCCAUUUGAAAGAUUUAUGAAAACGCUAAAAGGGUAUGUGAAGAACCGGGCAAGACUAGAAGGAUGCAUAGCUGAGUGUUACCUUGUAGAAGAACGAAUGAUAUUUUUUAGUGCUUAUAUAAAAAAGGCUUAUAGUAUUGGUGUUCGUUUUAAUAGGAACGAUGAUUUGGAAGAUGGAUUAUUAGAAGGUCGCCCAAUUUCUAAAGGGAAAGAAAAGAUUUUAGAGGACCAAGUGUUGCAAGCUACACAUCGAUAUAUAUUAUUCAAUAGUGCAGAAGUUGAACCUUACUUAUAGUCAUUACAUAGCUUUCAAAAGAUCAGUAAAAUGGUUAAAAAACAUAGCAAAGGAUCUUUCGUUGAAAUUCAGGAAAAUAUAACUGGUUAUCGAGAAUGGACUCUAACAAUUAAACCAAUUCAUCACAAGAUUUUCAUGGUAAAGAACCAAUUGCUGAUGAGAAAAUUGAUAAGAAAAAAAGACGGGGUGCAUCAAAGUUGAAAAUGGUUAGUGGCCAAGACAAGUGCAAAGAGCUGGAGCGUAAUGAGUUUGGACAGCCGAUUGGAGAUAAUUCAGUGAAGUACGCUUCUUUCCUAGGUUGCAUGAUAAAGGAAUUUGUGCCAUAUACAUUAGAUGAAUGGAGUGAUAUUGAUGAAGUGAAAGAUAGGAUGUGGAGCUGUCUUCAGGUAUGAAAGGCAUCUAGCAGCCAAUCAUACGGGUUCAAUGAGAUAAAGUUGAGAUGUUCAAUAUGCAUGGAUGCAGUGGAGGAGAUAACCACUACUUGUGGCCACAUUUUUUUUUUUUUUUUUUUUUUGCAAUAGCUGUAUCACCAAUGUCAUUCAUGUACAGCGCAAAAGGCCAACCUGCUGAUUCAAUCUCUCUCCGAGUCCCAGGAGCAAGUUCCUGACUUUUCAGAGUAUGCUAAAAUCUUGAUUCCUGCUUCGGCUCACUUCAUAAUCUACCACUCUGACCACCACCUAAGUGAAUUGACCAUCUUUAUUUAUUUGCCUUGUUGAGCGAGGAAGUCUCUCCCCAGGCUAUAUGUGAUUUGUUCAAACUUAAAAAAUGUAGUAAGAUCAGUGUUUAGUCUUGUAUUAUUGGUAGCUCUCAAGACCAUUGUGAUAUCUUAGUGUAUGGAAUGAUGACUUAAUUGUUGUUUGCUUUUGUUAA